CAUUUGACGUUAGCUGCAGAAGAAGCUACCGGCUAACUCCGUGCCAGCAGCCGCGGUAAUACGGAGGGUGCGAGCGUUAAUCGGAAUUACUGGGCGUAAAGCGCAUGCAGGUGGUUUGUUAAGUCAGAUGUGAAAGCCCGGGGCUCAACCUCGGAAUUUGCAUUUGAAACUGGCAAACUAGAGUACUGUUAGAGGGGGUAGAAUUUCAGGUGUAGCGGUGAAAUGCGUAGAGAUCUGAAGGAAUACCGGUGGCGAAGGCGGCCCCCUGGACAGAUACUGACACUCAGAUGCGAAAGCGUGGGGAGCAAACAGGAUUAGAUACCCUGGUAG
rnacentral:rRNA from 1 species